rnacentral:tRNA from 1 species
GCCUGGGUGGCGGAACUGGUAGACGCACAGGACUUAAAAUCCUGUGACCUCUAGGGUCGUGCGGGUUCGAUUCCCGCCCCAGGCA